CGCGAAACCUUUACACUGCACGACAGUGCGAUAGGGGAACUCCGAGUGCGAGGGCAUAGAGCCCUCGCUUUUCUGCACCGUAAGGUGGUGCAGGAACAAGUGCUGGGCAAGACCGGUGCCAGCCGCCGCGGUAAUACCGGCAGCACGAGUGAUGGCCGAUCUUAUUGGGCCUAAAGCGUCCGUAGCUGGCCGUGCAAGUCCGUCGGGAAAUCCAGUGGCUCAACCUCUGGGCUUCCGGCGGAAACUGCUCGGCUUGGGACCGGAAGACUCGAGGGGUACGUUCGGGGUAGGAGUGAAAUCCCGUAAUCCUGAACGGACCACCGAUGGCGAAAGCACCUCGAGAGCACGGAUCCGACAGUGAGGGACGAAAGCUAGGGUCUCGAACCAGAUUAGAUACCCGGGUAGUCCUAGCUGUUAACGAUGCCCGCUCGGUUCGGCGCAGGCUACGAGCCUGUGCCGCGCCUCAGUGAAGACGUAAGCGGGCCGCCUGGGAAGUACGUCCGCAAGGAUGAAACUUAAAGGAAUUGGCGGGGGAGCACUACAACCGGAGGAGCCUGCGGUUUAAUUG
rnacentral:rRNA from 1 species